AGCUGCGCGUCAAGCACAUAGCGAACUAUUAUUUCACCUUUUACUAAAGAAUAUUGUGUGCUCGUCGCUUAUAAGCGGCUUACGCCACUUUUUGGAGGGGUGUCUUCUUUCAAGGAGGCC